GGCUGGUCCGAUGGCAGUGGGCUAUCAGAACUUUUUUACAUUAGUGUCACUAAAGUUGGUAUACCACCCCCCCACUGCUAAAUUUGACUGGCUUUAA
rnacentral:Y_RNA from 1 species